AAUAAGAGGUACAUCCUGCCCAGUGAAUUAAAUGAUUACAUACGGCCGCGGUACCCUGACCGUGCGAAGGUAGCAUAAUCGUUCGCCUCUUAAUUGGAGGCUGGUAUGAAUGGACAAACGAGAGACCAGCUGUCUCCCUCUUACCCCUGUAACUUGAACUGCAGGUGAAGAUGCCUGCAUAAUAAUAUAGGACAAAAAGACCCUGUUGAGUUUUAUUUAUAUUAUUACCGCAAUUUAAAUAAUAUAUAAUUAAAAGCACAUAAUACAUAAAUUUGAUUGGGGCAAUCAAGGAUCAAGCCCAACAUCCUUACUUUUAAAAGCAUCUAGCCAAUGACCCAUAAACCGUGAUUAAAGAAAUGAACUACCACAGGGAUAACAGGCUAAUCUUCCUAGAGAGGCCAAAUUGACAGGAAGGCUUGGCACCUCGAUGUUGGCUUAGGAUAUCCAUUAAAUGCAGAAGUUUAAAACGGUGGGUUUGUUCAACCCAUAAAAUCCUACGUGAUCUGAGUUCAGAC
rnacentral:rRNA from 1 species